GCUGACGAGUGGCGGACGGGUGAGUAAUGUCUGGGAAACUGCCUGAUGGAGGGGGAUAACUACUGGAAACGGUAGCUAAUACCGCAUAACGUCGCAAGACCAAAGAGGGGGACCUUCGGGCCUCUUGCCAUCGGAUGUGCCCAGAUGGGAUUAGCUUGUUGGUGGGGUAACGGCUCACCAAGGCGACGAUCCCUAGCUGGUCUGAGAGGAUGACCAGCCACACUGGAACUGAGACACGGUCCAGACUCCUACGGGAGGCAGCAGUGGGGAAUAUUGCACAAUGGGCGCAAGCCUGAUGCAGCCAUGCCGCGUGUAUGAAGAAGGCCUUCGGGUUGUAAAGUACUUUCAGCGGGGAGGAAGGGAGUAAAGUUAAUACCUUUGCUCAUUGACGUUACCCGCAGAAGAAGCACCGGCUAACUCCGUGCCAGCAGCCGCGGUAAUACGGAGGGUGCAAGCGUUAAUCGGAAUUACUGGGCGUAAAGCGCACGCAGGCGGUUUGUUAAGUCAGAUGUGAAAUCCCCGGGCUCAACCUGGGAACUGCAUCUGAUACUGGCAAGCUUGAGUCUCGUAGAGGGGGGUAGAAUUCCAGGUGUAGCGGUGAAAUGCGUAGAGAUCUGGAGGAAUACCGGUGGCGAAGGCGGCCCCCUGGACGAAGACUGACGCUCAGGUGCGAAAGCGUGGGGAGCAAACAGGAUUAGAUACCCUGGUAGUCCACGCCGUAAACGAUGUCGACUUGGAGGUUGUGCCCUUGAGGCGUGGCUUCCGGAGCUAACGCGUUAAGUCGACCGCCUGGGGAGUACGGCCGCAAGGUUAAAACUCAAAUGAAUUGACGGGGGCCCGCACAAGCGGUGGAGCAUGUGGUUUAAUUCGAUGCAACGCGAAGAACCUUACCUGGUCUUGACAUCCACAGAACUUUCCAGAGAUGGAUUGGUGCCUUCGGGAACUGUGAGACAGGUGCUGCAUGGCUGUCGUCAGCUCGUGUUGUGAAAUGUUGGGUUAAGUCCCGCAACGAGCGCAACCCUUAUCCUUUGUUGCCAGCGGUCCGGCCGGGAACUCAAAGGAGACUGCCAGUGAUAAACUGGAGGAAGGUGGGGAUGACGUCAAGUCAUCAUGGCCCUUACGACCAGGGCUACACACGUGCUACAAUGGCGCAUACAAAGAGAAGCGACCUCGCGAGAGCAAGCGGACCUCAUAAAGUGCGUCGUAGUCCGGAUUGGAGUCUGCAACUCGACUCCAUGAAGUCGGAAUCGCUAGUAAUCGUGGAUCAGAAUGCCACGGUGAAUACGUUCCCGGGCCUUGUACACACCGCCCGUCACACCAUGGGAGUGGGUUGCAAAAGAAGUAGGUAGCUUAACCUUCGGGAGGGCGCUUACCACUUUGUGAUUCAUGACUGGGGUGAAGUCGUAACAAGGUAACCGUAGGGGAACCUGCGGUUGGAUCACCUCCUUACCUUAAAGAAGC
rnacentral:rRNA from 3 species